rnacentral:rRNA from 1 species
UACGUAGGGUGCGAGCGUUGUCCGGAAUUAUUGGGCGUAAAGAGCUUGUAGGCGGUUUGUCGCGUCUGCUGUGAAAUCUCAAGGCUCAACCUUGAGCUUGCAGUGGGUACGGGCAGACUAGAGUGUGGUAGGGGGAGACUGGAAUUCCUGGUGUAGCGGUGAAAUGCGCAGAUAUCAGGAGGAACACCGAUGGCGGAAGGCAGGUCUCUGGGCCACUAC